AAUGAACGUUGGCGGCGUGGAUUAGGCAUGCAAGUCGAGGGAGAACCCGCAAGGGGGACACCGGCGAACGGGGUAGGAUCACCUCGGUGACGUACCCUCCGGACGGGGAUAGCGACGGGAAACUGUCGGUAAUACCCGAUGAUCUGGCGAGCUUUUGAGGCUUGUCAGCAAAGGUGAGAUUCCACCGGAGGAGCGGCUGAGGCGCUAUUAGCUAGUUGGGGAGGUAACGGCUCACCAAGGCGACGAUGGCUAGGGGUGGUGAGAGCAUGGCCCCCACCACUGGCACUGAGACACUGGCCAGACACCUACGGGUGGGCUGCAGUCGAG
rnacentral:rRNA from 1 species